rnacentral:rRNA from 1 species
CCUACGGGGGGCUGCAGUGAGGAAUAUUGGUCAAUGGGCGGGAGCCUGAACCAGCCAAGCCGCGUGAGGGAAGAAGGUACAGCGUAUCGUAAACCUCUUUUGUCAGGGAACAAAGGCGGGGACUAGUCCCCGGAUGAGGGUACCUGAAGAAAAAGCAUCGGCUAACUCCGUGCCAGCAGCCGCGGUAAUACGGAGGAUGCGAGCGUUAUCCGGAUUUAUUGGGUUUAAAGGGUGCGCAGGCGGUCUGUUAAGUCAGCGGUCAAAGCCCGGGGCUCAACCCCGGCCCGCCGUUGAAACUGGCAGUCUCGAGUUGGAGAGAAGUAUGCGGAAUGCGCGGUGUAGCGGUGAAAUGCAUAGAUAUCGCGCAGAACUCCGAUUGCGAAGGCAGCAUGCCGGCUCCACACUGACGCUGAGGCACGAAAGCGUGGGUAUCGAACAGGAUUAGAUACCCCGGUAGUC